CAAAAUUAGGGAUUUUUCAAAGUAGUGGUUGUAUAAGAAGUACAACUGUUUCAAAAGAUUUCUCAAAAAUGGUGUUUCAAAAGGAUUCUCAAAAAUUGUUUAAAAAAUGGUUUACAAAAAGGUUUAUCAGAGGUUUUCUCAAAAGUGGUAUUACAAAAGGAUUAUCAAAAGGUUUCUGAAAAAACUGUUUAUCAAGAUUUCUCAAAAAUGGUUUAUCAAAAAUUGUUUCAAAAGGUUUAUCAAAAGAUUUCGCAAAAAUGGUUUAUUAAAAGGUUUCUCAAAAAUUGUGUUUCAAAAGGUUUAUCAAAAGAUUUCUCAAAAUCAGUUUAUCAAAAGGCUUCUCAAAAACGGUGUAUCAAGAGGUUUCUCAAAAAUUGUGUUUCAAAAGGUUUCUCCAAAAUUGUGUUUCAAAAGGUUUAUCAGAAGGUUUCUCAAAAAUGGUCUACCACAAUGUCUCUCAAAAAGGGGUUAGCAAAAUGUUUCUCAAAAUGGUUUAUUAAAACGUUUCCAAAAAAUGGUGUUUCAAAAGGUUUCUCAAAAGGUAGCAGUUUCAAUAGGUUUCUCAAUGGAAGCAGUUUCAUAAGAUGGUUUCUUAAUAGAGGCAAUUUCAAUAGGUUUCUGAAAGGCUUGUUACACUGGUUUCUGAAAGGCUUGUUACAAUGGUUUCUGAAAGGCUUGUUACAAUGGUUUCUGAAAGGCUUGUUACAAUGGUUUCUGAAAGGCUUGUUACAAUGGUUUCUGAAAGGCUUGUUACAAUGGUUUCUGAAAGGCUUGUUACAAUGGUUUCUGAAAGGCUUGUCAAUCAGAUAGAGCGGUAGAGGAGACAGGAAAGUCAGAGUAACCAAACUUAGUCAGAGGGAUAGAGAAAAGGGGGACACAAGAUAGAGUGGCUUUUCAAUUAGACAGAGCGGUAGAGGAGACAGGAAAGUCAGAGCGUCCAAAAUUUAGCUAGAGGGAUAGAGCAAAGGGGGACACAAGAUAGAGUGGCUUUUCAAUUAGAUAGAGCGGUAGAGGAGACAGGAAAGUCAGAGCGUCCAAAAUUUAGCUAGAGGGAUAGAGAAAAGGGGGACACAAGAUAGAGUGGCUUUUCAAUUAGAUAGAGCGGUAGAGGAGACAGGAAAGUCAGAGCGGCCAAAAAGAUAGGGGAGAGUGGGGAGACUGGACACGAUACCUGUAAGACACAAUGAAAACAAACAUGAAUCAUUUUUUAUAUGAGAAACAAAAUGAACCAACAUCCACCCAAAGCUAAUGUCAUUAUUAUGUGCUUUUACUUAACCCACCAUAUGGCUAUCCUUAACUAUACAUCUAUCAAAAGCCAAGUUGAGUCAAAUCCUGGAAUUGGCAAUUGGCCUGUUUGAUAACCCAUCAAUCAAAUUAAUAAGAACUAAAAAUCCAAAGUGCUCAAACGAGUUUAUUAAAAAUGUAUUUAAGGUGAGGAGAACUUUAUUAUUUCCCUGAAGGGAAAUUUGAUUGUAGUCUCAUUUGUCAUAUCUCCAAAAGUCAUCUACUAUUUUUAAAAGAAUUGUAAAGUCUGAUGGCUGUGGGUACAAAAGAUCUUCUGAAUCUUUUUGUCCUGCAGCGAAGAGAGAGGAGCCGUCCACCACCUUAGGCCCUUUGGUCCAUCAAGGUGUUAUGAAGUGGGUAAUCCAUGUUCUUUAAAAUAGUCUCCACCUUCUCAGUGUACAUCUCUCCACCACAUCCUACACUGAGUCCAACUUGAAUCCAACCACAUAGCCAGCUUUUUAAAUUUAGGACCUCAAAGUAUUUUACAAAAAGAGAAGAAUUUUUUUUAACAAAAAUUUUUUAGACUCUUAGAAAUCAUCUAAAGUUCCCUUUAUAAUGUUCAUAACCAUGUCCUGGUAAGCAAUAAUAACAAUGGAUUACUAUGCUAAUAAAAUAAUCAUGUAUUUUAGGAAAUGUAAUUUCCUUUACUGUGUUUUAAGUUUUCCAACUAAGUAAUCACAACGUAAGGAAUCACAAUGAUAAGUAACUAUUUGGAUACUCAUCAUUAAAAAAAUUACAACUCCACAAUUUAAUAGUAACAAAUUGCUUUCCAAUGAUUGGAAAUAAAAUGCAAAUAAGUGUACUGCAUAUAACAUUCAAGCUGUUCAUGUCCAACUGUGAAUAUUACAUAAUCAAAGGGAAAAAAUCGUCAAGUUAGUACAUGAUGAGGGGUCCAUAAUGUGUUGAAUAAAGGCACACUGUAUUAUUCAUGAAAAUGUCAUUCCUGUGUGAACUUACGUCGAGUCGCCACAAAGCGGUCUGCACUUGGAGACAGGAUAGAGUUGGCAAGAAGGAAAAU